UGGUGGUUUUUAGAUAAAAAAAAAGGAGUGAAAAUGAUUAAAUGAUUGAAGGGAUAAAAUGGAAAGUAAAUGAUUGAAAAUGAAGGAUUUAAAGGAAGGAAUAAAGUGAUUUUAAGGUGCCAAAAGUCACCUCCAGCCUCUGGUCCCGGCAGGAAACAAAAGGCCAAAAAAAAAAACCCCAAAAAAGAGGAAAACUGGUGCGUUUUGAGGUCACUGCAGAAAGAAAAAAAAACCCAAAAACUGGGAUGUUGUUGGUUUUGGGGACAAAAGGCGCCGCUUUGGGCAACGUGGAGUCAAAACCGUCGUGUCCUGGGUGCGAAAAAUGAGGUGAAAAUCAUGAAAAAAUCGGUUUAUUGGUUAAAAACGGUGGAAAAAUGGU